UUGGUUAAGUUAGAAAGGGCGCACGGUGGAUGCCUUGGCACUAGGAGCCGAAGAAGGACGGGACUAACACCGAUAUGCUUUGGGGAGCUGUACGUAAGCGUUGAUCCAGAGAUUUCCGAAUGGGGGAACCCACUAUCUUUAGUCGGAUAGUAUCCUUACGUGAAUACAUAGCGUGAGGAAGGCAGACCCAGGGAACUGAAACAUCUAAGUACCUGGAGGAAGAGAAAGAAAAAUCGAUUUCCUGAGUAGCGGCGAGCGAAACGGAAAGAGCCCAAACCAAGAAGCUUGCUUCUUGGGGUUGUAGGACACUCUAUAUGGAGUUACAAAAGAAAGUUAUAAAUGAAGCGGUCUGGAAAGGCCCGCCAAAGACGGUAACAGCCCGGUAGUUGAAAUGGCUUUCCCUCCAGAGUGGAUCCUGAGUACGGCGGAACACGUGAAAUUCCGUCGGAAUCCGGGAGGACCAUCUCCCAAGGCUAAAUACUCCCUAGUGACCGAUAGUGAACCAGUACCGUGAGGGAAAGGUGAAAAGCACCCCGGAAGGGGAGUGAAACAGUUCCUGAAACCGUGUGCCUACAAGUAGUUAGAGCCCGUUAAUGGGUGAUAGCGUGCCUUUUGUAGAAUGAACCGGCGAGUUACGAUUUGUUGCAAGGUUAAGCGGAAAAAGCGGAGCCGUAGCGAAAGCGAGUCUGAAUAGGGCGCAUAAGUAACAGGUCGUAGACCCGAAACCAGGUGAUCUACCCAUGUCCAGGAUGAAGGUAAGGUAAUACUUACUGGAGGUCCGAACCCACGCACGUUGAAAAGUGCGGGGAUGAGGUGUGGGUAGCGGAGAAAUUCCAAUCGAACUUGGAGAUAGCUGGUUCUCUCCGAAAUAGCUUUAGGGCUAGCCUCGAGGUAAAGAGUCAUGGAGGUAGAGCACUGUUUGGACUAGGGGCCCUUCUCGGGUUACCGAAUUCAGAUAAAC
rnacentral:rRNA from 1 species